rnacentral:lncRNA from 1 species
GCUUCUCUUUGGUGGAAGAAGACCCAAGAAGAAGAAGCUGAUGAGGAUCGGGGGAUGGAGGUUAAAUGACUUCUGGACGGAGCAAAUGAUGGGGAUUUCCGGGCAGAAUGCAGAGCAGAAGAGCCACAUGGAGCAUCAAAAAAUGAGAGGAGAGUGACCCAAAGGCAGGUCCCCAGGACGGCUUCGAGGCCUCAGAGAAGAGAUGCUGCAGAUGGUCCUUAGACGGUCUCACAGAAGGACAGAGAAGGGGCAGAAAGAGCAAAUGUUUAUUAAGAGUGACAGGCACUCUUCUAGGCACUGGAGUGCAGCAAGAAACAAAACUGAGGACAGCAGUCAACAAAGAAAAAUACAACAGCGUGUCAAGAAUUGUGAGGACUGUGAAGAAAAAGAAAGCAGCGAGAAGGGCCGGUAGGCGACUCUCACACAGAGAGGGGCCGAAGGGAGGCCUGGAGCUGCUCCCCACCUUCCCAACAUCAGGGCUCAGGGCCUGCAUCUCUAACAUCCUUCUGCUCUGCCAGAGGCCUCCCCUCCAUCCUUCGCUUGGUUUGUACCAUGUUUACCCUGAUCUUAAGAGUGGGGAGGCACCAGGCACGACUGUGAUGCAACAGGAGACCUGCCGCUAUGAACUCGAGGACUCCCUAUGGCAGAAGGAACCAGGCGCACGCCCUCAAAUCACUAAGCACAGACCCAGUCCUCUUCCAUCUCCCCAUCCAGAACACAGAUGCUCAUCUAAAUACAGUGUCUGAAUGACCACUGAGAGCUCGGCCAGAGUGUCCUGUCAACGUCCGAAUUGUGUCUCCCUGUCCUGGAAUCAGGGACCCAAAUCUGGUUCUGUCGACUCCAGCCAGGCCUCCCCCUCUUCAGGCAAAGUGCAGGGCAGCCCACUGCGUGGAUGCUCGAUGCCCAUCAGCGCUGUCUUCACUUGUAAACAGCCGACGGGAAGAGCAUCAGAGAUAGAAGUUCCAAUGAACAAGUUUAUUAGCAAGUGAAAUAACUAACAUUGAAUUAGCAGCAAUAAAAACUGCUACCACUCUGAA